UACGUAGGGUGCAAGCGUUGUCCGGAAUUAUUGGGCGUAAAGAGCUCGUAGGCGGUUCGUCGCGUCGGCUGUGAAAACCCGGAGCUCAACUCCGGGCCUGCAGUCGAUACGGGCGGACUUGAGUGUUGCAGGGGAGACUGGAAUUCCUGGUGUAGCGGUGAAAUGCGCAGAUAUCAGGAGGAACACCGGUGGCGGAGGCGGUUCUCUGGGCAUUACCUGACGCUGAGGAGCGAAAGUGUGGGGAGCGAACAGG
rnacentral:rRNA from 1 species